GUUGAAACACCAGUUCUCAUACGAUCACUAAAAGUAAACAAUGUUGAGCCUUGUCAGUACCUAGAUAGAUGACCGCUUGGGAAUAUCAGGUGCUGUAAG